rnacentral:rRNA from 1 species
CAGCAGCCACGGUAAUACGAGGGGGGCUAGCGUUGUUCGGAAUUACUGGGCGUAAAGCGCACGUAGGCGGAUAUUUAAGUCAGGGGUGAAAUCCCAGAGCUCAACUCUGGAACUGCCUUUGAUACUGGGUAUCUUGAGUAUGGAAGAGGUGAGUGGAAUUCCGAGUGUAGAGGUGAAAUUCGUAGAUAUUCGGAGGAACACCAGUGGCGAAGGCGGCUCACUGGUCCAUUACUGACGCUGAGGUGCGAAAGCGUGGGGAGCGAACAGGAUUAGAUACCCCCGUAGUCCCUGUCUCUUAUAC